rnacentral:pre_miRNA from 1 species
GCGUGGGUUCCGUGCUUCCUUACUUCCCAUAGUCAAAUGACAAAACGUAUGGAAUGUAAAGAAGUAUGGAGCAAAUGC